UACGUAGGGUGCAAGCGUUGUCCGGAAUUAUUGGGCGUAAAGAGCUCGUAGGUGGCUUGUCACGUCGGGUGUGAAAGCUUGGGGCUUAACUCCAGGUCUGCAUUCGAUACGGGCUGGCUAGAGGUAGGUAGGGGAGAACGGAAUUCCUGGUGUAGCGGUGAAAUGCGCAGAUAUCAGGAGGAACACCGGUGGCGAAGGCGGUUCUCUGGGCCUUACCUGACGCUGAGGAGCGAAAGCGUGGGGAGCGAACAGG
rnacentral:rRNA from 1 species